rnacentral:rRNA from 1 species
GAUGAACGCUGGCGGCGUGCUUAACACAUGCAAGUCGAACGAUGAAGCCCAGCUUGCUGGGUGGAUUAGUGGCGAACGGGUGAGUAACACGUGAGUAACCUGCCCUUAACUCUGGGAUAAGCCUGGGAAACUGGGUCUAAUACCGGAUAGGAGCGUCCACCGCAUGGUGGGUGUUGUAAAGAUUUAUCGGUUUUGGAUGGACUCGCGGCCUAUCAGCUUGUUGGUGAGGUAAUGGCUCACCAAGGCGACGACGGGUAGCCGGCCUGAGAGGGUGACCGGCCACACUGGGACUGAGACACGGCCCAGACUCCUACGGGAGGCAGCAGUGGGGAAUAUUGCACAAUGGGCGCAAGCCUGAUGCAGCGACGCCGCGUGAGGGAUGACGGCCUUCGGGUUGUAAACAUCUUUCAGUAGGGAAGAAGCGAAAGUGACGGUACCUGCAGAAGAAGCACCGGCUAACUACGUG